GGUUAAGCGAACAAGCGUACACGGUGGAUGCCCUGGCAGUCAGAGGCGAUGAAGGACGUGCUAAUCUGCGAAAAGCGCCGGUAAGGUGAUAUGAACCGUUAUAGCCGGCGAUGUCCGAAUGGGGAAACCCAGUGUGAUUCGUCACACUAUCUCAGCAUGAAUACAUAGUGCUGUGAGGCGAACCGGGGGAACUGAAACAUCUAAGUACCCCGAGGAAAAGAAAUCAACCGAGAUUCCCCCAGUAGCGGCGAGCGAACGGGGAACAGCCCAGAGCCUGAAUCAGCUUGUGUGUCAGUGGAACGGUCUGGAAAGGCCGGCGAUACAGGGUGACAGCCCCGUACACGAAGGCACACAGGUUGUGAGCUCGAUGAGUAGGGCGGGACACGUGAUAUCCUGUCUGAAGAUGGGGGGACCAUCCUCCAAGGCUAAAUACUCCUGACUGACCGAUAGUGAACCAGUACCGUGAGGGAAAGGCGAAAAGAACCCCGGCGAGGGGAGUGAAACAGAACCUGAAACCGUGUACGUACAAGCAGUGGGAGCCUUCGUAAGAGGGUGACUGCGUACCUUUUGUAUAAUGGGUCAGCGACUUAU
rnacentral:rRNA from 1 species